CCUACGGGGGGCAGCAGUAGGGAAUCUUCCACAAUGGGCGAAAGCCUGAUGGAGCAACGCCGCGUGGGUGAAGAAGGUCUUCGGAUCGUAAAACCCUGUUGUUAGAGAAGAAAGUGCGUGAGAGUAACUGUUCACGUUUCGACGGUAUCUAACCAGAAAGCCACGGCUAACUACGUGCCAGCAGCCGCGGUAAUACGUAGGUGGCAAGCGUUAUCCGGAUUUAUUGGGCGUAAAGGGAACGCAGGCGGUCUUUUAAGUCUGAUGUGAAAGCCUUCGGCUUAACCGGAGUAGUGCAUUGGAAACUGGGAGACUGGAGUGCAGAAGAGGAGAGUGGAACUCCAUGUGUAGCGGUGAAAUGCGUAGAUAUAUGGAAGAACACCAGUGGCGAAAGCGGCUCUCUGGUCUGUAACUGACAUUGAUGCUCGAAAGUGUGGGUAUCAAACAGGAUUAGAUACCCGAGUAGUC
rnacentral:rRNA from 1 species